rnacentral:rRNA from 1 species
GACGAACGCUGGCGGCGUGCUUAACACAUGCAAGUCGAACGGAAAGGCCCUGCUUUUGUGGGGUGCUCGAGUGGCGAACGGGUGAGUAACACGUGAGUAACCUGUCCUUGACUUUGGGAUAACUUCAGGAAACUGGGGCUAAUAUCGGAUAGGAUCUCCUGCUGCAUGGUGGGGGUUGGAAAGUUUCGGCGGUUGGGGGUGGACUCGCGGCUUAUCAGCUUGUUGGUGGGGUAGUGGAUUACCAAGUCUUGGAAGGGUAGCCGGCCUGAGAGGGGGACCGGCCACAAUGGGACUGAGAUACGGCCCAGACUCCUAUGGGAGGCAGCGGUGGGGAGUAUGACACAAGAGGCCGAAGCCAGAUGCAGCAACGCCGCGUGCGGGAUGACGUGCUUCGGGUUGUAAACCGCUUUCGCCUGAGACGAAGCGAUAGUGACGGUAAUGGGUAAAGAAGCACCGGCUAACUACGUG